rnacentral:lncRNA from 1 species
AAGAAAGGGAUUCUGGGUUAUGAGUUUUUGGGGUUAACAAGGUUAACCGGUAAGAUUGGGUAGGAGCCAAAGCUUAUUUACGAAUUGAGCAUGCAUGCACAUUUCCUUAUCGCAUUGAGUAUUUGUAUCCACUGACAUUCUUCUGCAGGCAUAGUAUUAGAUGCAUUAGUACUGGUUACUUUUCUUUCCUUGAAAUACUUAUGCCUGGAUAGACCUAGUGGGUAAGUCGGCGAGGUCGGAUGCCGAACCCACUGGGAACUUCGUUGUAGUUCUCACACCACUAACCCUACAGGUCCUAGCACGAGCGGGGCGGCG